rnacentral:rRNA from 1 species
CCCGAUGAACCUGAAUAUCCAUUAUGGAAAAUUCAUCAUUAAUAUUAUUAUAUUUAAAAAUAUAAUAAAAAUAGUGUGCAAUUUUUCCAUAUAAGGACAUUGUAAUCUGUUAAUGUAUUAAAUAUUUAUCAAAAAAUCUAUAGCAUUAGUUUAUUCGAAUUAGUAAUUUUUUUUAAAUUUCUAACAUAGAAUAAUAGCAAUAGAUUUGAUAAAUCAUUGACAGAUUGUAUUAUAUAUAAUGCUUAAAUUCUUUUUGAAUUUUAUAAUUUAAAUAAAUUAUUUUUUAUUUAUAUUAUAUGCGUUUAUAUGAUUAACAAUGCUAUAGAUUCAGGAUACCUUCGGGACCCGUCUUGAAACACGGACCAAGGAGUCUAACAUAUGUGCAAGUCAUUGGGUAUUUUUAAUAAAACCCAAUGGCAUAAUUAACUUAACUGAUUUUUAAUGGGAUUAGUUUGCAUUUUAUUAUGAAAUAUAAAUUCAAUCCCGGGGCGUUCUAUAUAGUUAUGCAUAAUAAUAUUUAUAUUAUUUAUGCCUCUAACUAGAGCGUACCUUGAGCAUAUAUGCUGUGACCC